AUGUUUUCUUCAUUCUUGUUUAUUUUAAGCUCAGAUAGAAAAGGGGCUGUGCACAACAACUGAGAAAAGGAAGCAAAAUGUGCACUUUUUAGAAGUUCGGACAUAUACAAGUAUUUUACAUAAAUUGCAUAAAGGUCAGACUAUCAAGAGUUUUACAGUCCCAGAAGUACCUUAAUCUAUAGCUUCAGAAUAGAUAUAUUUAAGGUAAGAAAUAUCUGUAAUCGCAAAAGUCUUGUACUUCAAUAGUUUCGUUUUGGGGGAGGGUAUUCAAUAUAUAUUAAUGACUACAUUAAUUACUGUUAUCCUCUGAAAAAGUACACAGAUUUUAAUUCCCUGUUUGCUAAUCAAGCUUUGUAAGUCAACUUAAGCCUCAUUGCAAACUUAUAUUUAGAUGACAUAAGAAGAAGAUAGCUAUCCCAUGUUCCUUCCAUUUACUUGUUCUGAUAAGAUUUUUUUACUAUAUCUUCCAAUAAUGUUUUUCUCAGCACUUCUGAGUCUGAAUAACCUAAUAGCAGAAACUUUCAGGUUAAAAAAAAAAAAAAAAGAAUGGUAGAAUAUGUUAUUCUCUUUGAACUACUUCUGCUGCUGGAGAUUACUUAGCUGCUGAGAGGGACAGAGUUGUUUUGAUUUUCUACUGAACUCUCAUCCAGAUUUACUUAAUUCUCAAAUGUUGGUAAAAAGCAGCUCCAUAAAUACAGUUUAUAAUAUCACAGAAAGUCACAGACUCAACCAAUUGUUCAUUUUGAUUGUCCUUGCUAAUUUUGAAGUAAGACAGGAAUGACUUCACUUCCCACCAAAAUGUUUUGCGUCCCACGGGUCUUCAAACCAGAGCUAUGGAGUGUCCUGCAAAGAAGCCCACACCUACACACAAGCCACCUAAAAAUAUCAUUGUCCCAACUCAAAAGCUGCAAGCUAUUUAAAAACCUACCAGUGAUCCAGAAGAUAUGAGACUAAGCAUCGAUAUUCACCUUGUAUGUCAAUACCAUAAGUAUUUUAAAAUGAGCUCAAAGGGAAGAGAGAGCUACCAGACCGCUCAGAAAAAAAAAAAACAGACUACUUCUGUAACAGGGGGAAGUGCUGUUUUUGCAUCUGUGUGAGUUGGAGUCCAGCUGUCUGGAAACAGCUCUGCACGGAAGGACACCAGGAUUCUGGUGCACAGCAAGUCGAAGGAGCCACGUGUGCACAGCCAAAGGUAUCUCACCUUAAUAGAAAAGUCCUGCGCUCCAACUCAAAGAGUUCCAUCUCCAGAACCAAUAUAAUUUCUUAAUGAGGCCACACAAGGAAACCAAAGAUCAAGCAACAUUGCAGAAGGUGAAGCAGCACCUCAGCAACCAGCAACACAGUAUGAUAUAGUCAAGUGGUGGAGCAAGAAAGCAGAAAGAGAGAAGGAGAGAGAGCGGAGACCUUGCCAACUUUGCUUCUUGGAGAAUACUGAAGUAAAACAGCUGAACAUCAGAAACAACUCAUGAUGAGCUUGUCAUUUGAAUUCAACAGCAGGGGCCCCACACUUGGUAACCAUUACCACUGCCUAAUCUACUGCAUGUUUUCUUAGUCAGUAGAGAUUAGAGCAAUGGUACUUCAGACAUCUAUUGGGAAUAGAACUAAAAUGGAAUCAUGAAAAUUAUGUGUAAAAAUAAAAAUAUAUCAUAUAAACAAUGUUACUUUGCUGAAUGUUGGCCUAAUAAAAAUGCUGCUUGUUGCUAUGCUGGAGUCCUACCUUUGGGAAUUGACUGCAGACUCUAACAACAAAACAAAGAGACUAUGGGCUUUUGAGGCUUCUAUAAAUUUAGAAACUCAUUGAGAACACUUGUCCACACAGGGGGAAGUUUUCUAAGUUACGUGCUUGGGAUUAGGCUGUGUGAUCGCCAACAAUGUUAAUGGGAGUUAUUCUUGCCUCUGAAAAUAUCAGCCUAACUCUGUAAUAAAGUAAUUUCCUCCACUAUUGGUUUAAGAGUUUUGUGCCAAAUUUCUGACCUCAGUUACUUAUUUGAAAUCCAAGGUUGUUUUUUGGAUUGCAUUGUAAUGAAUCAGUGCCUGCAGGCAAGAGAAACAAUUGCUCAAUAAAAUUCAGAGACUAAAAG